rnacentral:rRNA from 1 species
GGGCCCGCACAAGCGGUGGAGUAUGUGGUUUAAUUCGAAGCAACGCGCAGAACCUUACCAACCCUUGACAUCCUGUGCUAACUCCAGAGAUGGAGUGUCCACUUCGGUGGCGCAGUGACAGGUGCUGCAUGGCUGUCGUCAGCUCGUGUCGUGAGAUGUUCGGUUAAGUCCGGCAACGAGCGCAACCCUCAUCCUUAGUUGCCAGCAGUUCGGCUGGGCACUCUAAGGAAACUGCCCGUGAUAAGCGGAGGAAGGUGAGGAUGACGUCAAGUCUUCAUGGCCCUUACGGGUUGGGCUACACACGUGCUACAAUGGCAACUACAGUGGGUUAAUCCCCAAAAGUUGUCUCAGUUCGGAUUGGGGUCUGCAACUCGACCCAUGAAGUCGGAAUCGCUAGUAAUCGCGGAAC